AAUAUCCUCACCGGUGACUACUCCAAAAUCUCCAAAACUGUAUGUUCUUUACCCAUCCUUCGCUUUGACAAUGCAAAACUUAAUAGAGAAACUUGAUUGUAAUGGUGUUUUGGCACUAAAGGGAUUUUCUUUUUUGCACUUUUAUGUCGUAAUUAGUAGGAAGGUUGGGUUUUAGUCUCCAAAACUGGUAAGCUACUUUGAAUAAAAGGAAGAAAGCUUUAGAGAGAAAUUAAGAAAUUUUGUGAAAUUUGCUACUAAGUUUUUGUUGCCUCCUAUGGUUGAAGAAGUAGUAAAACUACUUCAUUCUUUUUCUUUUUCUUUUGUGAAAUUUGUUUACCAGUCAUGGAAUUUUAAUUUAGUUUUUGCCUCCAUUUACAAAAGCCACUAGCAGCUAGCUACUUGGUUAGAUUUUAACUUUCAAAGAUAUGAUGAUGUAAAUUUGUUUUUUCAUAUCAAUGUUGGCUUCACUUGACUUUUUUUUUGUUGUUGCAGUAGAAAUUGUUCUACAGUAAUUGCAAAAGACAAAGGCAUUUAAUUUUGAUAUAGAUUAGGAAUCUAAGAACAAAACUAUGGCAUCACUAAAUCUAGUGAACAUUCUUCUACAGCUAACAUAAUGAACAUAUGAUCCUGUUGGUGCUUUCUCAAGAAUAUGGAUUUGUCAGCACCAACACAAGAAGCAAAUGAGCUGCCCUGCAAAGGCUCAACUGCUUUCCAACACCCUUUAUUAUUACAUUUUACAAGCACUUGUUUCCUUAUUAUUCUUAUUAAUGUUUUGGGGGGGGCGUUGAUUACGAGGGUAUCUUCUUUUAGUUGCUAGCUUUAAGCCUUUCUUUUCUCUCUUUGAAUAUGAAAUAAAAUUCUUAUGUUAAACCAUUUCGAAAGGGUUGUGUCUUCACAUAUGAUGCCAUACGUUAAAAUUGGUGUUAUCCCACAUUAUUUAAAGUUAAACCUUCCCAAUAGCCAAUUGUUUUUAGGUUAGAUGCUUAAUAUGUUAUCGAAGCUAGGAUUAUAAUUUGUUCUUCUUGCUUGGUACUCUUCUUACUCUUUGUUAGUUCGUCACAUGAUUGGCUCUUUUGUCUCGGUUUACUUACGAUGGUAGAUUAACAGAUGAUUCCAAGUUUGUCCUCAAUAUUCAACCCAUUUGUUUCUAUUUUUUGUAAUUAUUUUGACUGGAAAUGUAUAUUGAUUUAUUGUGUUUUUUUUCCUUUUGAUUUUUGGCGACUUAAUAAUAAGGCUUCACGGUUUAAUAUUGGUAGAUCUUUACAUUUAUGACUAAAGUUAGAUAUGUUUCAAAGCUAGAAAGUAGAGUUGCAGCAAUGGAUGAAUCUAUUGUAAGUUAGAUAUAGCUCUUAUUGUGUUUAUUGAAGAAAAAGAAUCGCUUAAUUCCCAUUAUUGAGUUUAGAGCCAUGGUAUUAGUCUAAGUAGAAUGCGAAUUCGAAUUGAAUUAUGCAAUGGAAAAGCUUUCAUAUUGUAUUAUCUAAUAAUAUCUUAUUAGAAGAAAAUUGGAAAAUUCAUGUAUCUAAAUCUAACAUCUGCAAGCGUUAAGAUUUUAAUUUGGUUUGUUAACUUGUUCACCUUGUUGAUGUCAAAAUUUGUCUUCAUGAGUUUUUGAGCUUCCCAGCAUUUCAUUGUUAUACUAAUUGAUUAGUUGACCCUUUGAUUUUAUGGGAGCUCAAGAACUUAAGGCCCCAGCUUUAUUUAGCUGUUGAGUACUGCGAAAAGUCGUAUCUCCAUAAUGAGCAGAAGCAGAUGUAAGGUUACCUAUUUUACUUGAAUACUUGCUUAGUUCCUUCAUUGUUUGUUUAACAGCCUUCUCAUGUUCAUGCAAGCAAUACCAUAAUUGAUUUCAGAAUUUGAUCGAUUACCACAAGUACUCAACAUUUGGUUAAGUUUAUGUAUCUUUUAUUCAAAGAUUUAUCACUAUUUAUUUCUUUUUUAUGAUAAGGCCAUAACUUAGUAGUAGAAAGGAAAUUAGGGGAAUUUUUUGAUCCCUUGUUUAAGUGUCAUUGGAUGUAGUUUUCUUUAUAUUUAUUCUAAUUUAUUUUGUGGAUUUGUUCAUACAUAUAUAUUAGUUAUUAGUUAUCAGUCAGAUAGUUCAUUGUAAUAAUUGAUCACGUUUGUAUCUACAGUCGAAUGCAUUGAUUGUAAUUAUUAUUGUAAUUUAAUGGACUAUGUUUCUUUUUCUAGCUGAAUUAGAAAUGUAUUACAACUUUUCGGAUGCUCUUUUUGUACCAAAAUAGGUUUUGUCGUCUCUUUUCAUGUUGGGGAGGGUUUGUUCUCACUUUUUUUUGGUUGAGGUAGUAUUCUCUUAUGUUAGAUAAAGUUUAUAAUUCAUUUCUCUUCAAUUGCAGGGGCAAAUGCUUACUUCUUUGGAAAAGGUGGUAGAAUGGUUUGCGUUACAGACCAAUGUGCAAGGCGGUCAAGUUUAUAUCUUAAUUCUCCCCUCUGAUUGGCAAAGGAUCAUGUUCUGCUCAUGCCCGAAAAUAGUUUCUAGCAUAUGUUGGAAAAGCAAAGACUACCGGAUGGUUGGAUUGAUCAUUUCAUUAUGGCAAUUCCAUAAACAGUAAAGAGAAUGGGGCCAGCCAAUAAUAAUGAGUUUACAGGGAAGUUGAGUUCCUUCAACCUGUGCCCUGGUAUUGUAGAGAAUAAGUUAAGAAUUGACUUAAAUUUAAACAUUUGCCUGACACACGCUGCAUUAUUGUUGAAGUCAACAUGUUUUGUUUUGUUUUGCUUUUGCCAGUACAGCUGCCGUAGUUAUGUAAAGAGAAUGGGGCCUGCCAAUAAUAAUAAGCAUGUAGGCACUAAAUCUGCAGUUCAAAUUCGAAGCCAUGCUCAAAAGUUUUUCUCUAAGGCUCAUUGCUUUGAGUUCAUUACAAGAUUUCCUUGAUUAAGUAAAUGUAUUAUAUCUUUUAUUACCAAGAUUUACUUGAUUAAGAAAAUGAAUUGUAUUUUUUAUUACAUUGCAAUGUGUAUAGUUAUAGGUAGGUUCAACUAGUC